rnacentral:scRNA from 1 species
CUCGAACACAUGAAAAUUCUUGAGGUGUGCAA